rnacentral:rRNA from 1 species
AGAGUUUGAUCCUGGCUCAGAACGAACGCUGGCGGCACGCCUAACACAUGCAAGUCGAGCGCACCUUCGGGUGAGCGGCGGACGGGUUAGUAACGCGUGGGAACAUACCCUUCUCUAAGGAAUAGCCACUGGAAACGGUGAGUAAUACCUUAUACGCCCUUCGGGGGAAAGAUUUAUCGGAGAUGGAUUGGCCCGCGUUAGAUUAGAUAGUUGGUGGGGUAAUGGCCUACCAAGUCUACGAUCUAUAGCUGGUUUUAGAGGAUGAUCAGCAACACUGGGACUGAGACACGGCCCAGACUCCUACGGGAGGCAGCAGUGGGGAAUCUUAGACAAUGGGCGAAAGCCUGAUCUAGCGAUGCCGCGUGAGUGAUGAAGGCCUUAGGGUCGUAAAGCUCUUUCGCAGGGAUGAUAAUGACAGUACCUGGUAGAGAAACCCCGGCUAACUCCGUGCCAGCAGCCGCGGUAAUACGGAGGGGGUUAGCGUUGUUCGGAAUUACUGGGCGUAAAGCGCACGUAGGCGGACUAUUAAGUCAGAGGUGAAAUCCCAGGGCUCAACCCUGGAACUGCCUUUGAUACUGGUAGUCUUGAGUUCGAGAGAGGUGAGUGGAAUUCCGAGUGUAGAGGUGAAAUUCGUAGAUAUUCGGAGGAACACCAGUGGCGAAGGCGGCUCACUGGCUCGAUACUGACGCUGAGGUGCGAAAGUGUGGGGAGCAAACAGGAUUAGAUACCCUGGUAGUCCACACCGUAAACGAUGAAUGCCAGUCGUCAGCAAGUAUACUUGUUGGUGACACACCUAACGGAUUAAGCAUUCCGCCUGGGGAGUACGGUCGCAAGAUUAAAACUCAAAGGAAUUAACGGGGGCCCGCACAAGCGGUGGAGCAUGUGGUUUAAUUCGAAGCAACGCGCAGAACCUUACCAACCCUUGACAUCCUGUGACAACUCGAGAGAUCGAGCGUUCCUUAGGGACACAGUGACAGGUGCUGCAUGGCUGUCGUCAGCUCGUGUCGUGAGAUGUUCGGUUAAGUCCGGCAACGAGCGCAACCCACAUCUUUAGUUGCCAGCAGUUCGGCUGGGCACUCUAAAGAAACUGCCCGUGAUAAGCGGGAGGAAGGUGUGGAUGACGUCAAGUCCUCAUGGCCCUUACGGGUUGGGCUACACACGUGCUACAAUGGCAAGUACAGUGGGUUAAUCCCCAAAACUUGUCUCAGUUCGGAUUGGGGUCUGCAACUCGACCCCAUGAAGUCGGAAUCGCUAGUAAUCGCAGAACAGCAUGCUGCGGUGAAUACGUUCCCGGGCCUUGUACACACCGCCCGUCACACCAUGGGAGUUGGUUCUACCCGACGGCCGUGCGCUAACCU